rnacentral:rRNA from 1 species
GGGGAAUAUUGGACAAUGGGCGCAAGCCUGAUCCAGCCAUGCCGCGUGAGUGAUGAAGGCCCUAGGGUUGUAAAGCUCUUUCGCCAGGGACGAUAAUGACGGUACCUGGAUAAGAAGCCCCGGCUAACUUCGUGCCAGCAGCCGCGGUAAUACGAAGGGGGCUAGCGUUGUUCGGAAUCACUGGGCGUAAAGCGCACGUAGGCGGAUUGUUAAGUCAGGGGUGAAAUCCCGAGGCUCAACCUCGGAACUGCCUUUGAUACUGGCGAUCUAGAGUCCGGGAGAGGUGAGUGGAACUGCGAGUGUAGAGGUGAAAUUCGUAGAUAUUCGCAAGAACACCAGUGGCGAAGGCGGCUCACUGGCCCGGAACUGACGCUGAGGUGCGAAAGCGUGGGGAGCAAAC